AUACCAGUAUAAAUAAGAGGAGCCACAUUCCAUUAUCUUACACAAUUUCACUCGAUCUCACUUUCUCUAUAUAUAUUCUUAAUUUUUUUUAUUUAUUUACACCAUAAUAAUAAUAAAGCCCUGCCUCGUUUUAAGUAUUGCAACUCCCGAUCACCGCUACCCUUUCCGAUUGAUGUGAGCCUCAUAACAUAUGUCAGGGCUCUGCCCGACUAAGUUGUUGGGAUUCGGUCUCGGGACUUCGAGACAAGGUUGAAUUAGGGAUACUAUACUUAACACGAGUGCAUUAUAUUUUUAUAGCUUAGAAGUUAUGCCCAAAAUUUAUACCAGGAGAUCUUCUAGUUGAACCCUAAAAAUUCAUAGUGGGUCCAUUCUCUUUUCUCACAAUUUUAUUCUCUUUUUGUGAUUCACCCAAAACUAUUAUUUAUUAUUUUAUUUUAUAAACUCUAUUUGAGACCCCAAGUUAUCCUGCAUAAACCCUAAAAUUUUCAUAACAAUUAGAAUCAGGAUCAGGGCCCCUAAAACUCAGAGGGGGCAUUUCCCAUUCGAUAUUAUUUACACAAUUCGUUGUCAAAUGAGAAUUUCUUCGAAUCAUCGACUCAGCAAGCCUAAGCUGGUGACCAAGCAUGCCUACCCUACUUUGGCAUUCCCCGCGACACGCGACCGGUCCCGGGGAUCCUGUCGCGACACGCGGGCGGGUCCAAAUUGGGGUAUAAAUGUUGGGGCUCGGGGCUUGAACAGUUUGCUUGUUUCGACGUAAAAUUUCCUUUCAUACACUGAGAUAUACGUAAUUUUACUACCAAACACACACAACCCUGAAACGCUGCUACGAUACAGGGUAUUAACUCAAUCGCUGCUACGAUUUAAUGUCCGAUCGAUUGAAACUAUCCGAUGAAUGUUUAAGUGCUACUCAAAUUGGGUUUAUACUUUGUCAUUAGUCGUGAUUUCGACUUGAAUGUUUGAGUACCACCCAAACUCGGAGUGUACUCUGUCAUUCGUUGCGAAUCCGAUGGAUGUUUAAGUAUUGCACUUUGUCAUUCGUUGUGAGGGUAUUAAUCUCGUGAGUUAUCGUAAAUGUUGUAUUAGUUAAUUACCUAGUUUUGUGUGCAUUAUUAUUUAAAUUAGGUUAUCAGGCUUAUCAAUAGACUAAACUCUACCCCAUACACUUACAAUCAAAGUAGAUGCUAAUUCUCAGAAGAAUCUGAAUCAUGAAGCUUGUUAAUUCAAUACUGCAUGCUUAUAAUGUAAUUACAGUAGAUUGGAGUAAGAAUUGGAUCUGGCACUGAAGGACUUCAAGAAGUGGCUUAUUUUAUUAAUUAAAUCAAAUCAAGAAAUAUUGUUUUAUAUAAUCAAAUUUAUAUUAAAGCUAUCAUUGUAAAACAUGGGUUUUAUCCCAUCUAUUUAAUAAAUAAAAUCCGGUGUUUUUAAACUCUGAUAUUUUUCCUAACUCACGGUCCUGAUGAAAUUUCCGCCGCAAUGUUUUUAAAAGUAAUCACCGGUACCACUGGGCUGCUCGCGGCUCCCGAUUCCGUCCAGGAUGGGGUCGAGGGCCGUGACAUUAACAUACUGACAUGUGCAUAUAUUGUUGAUUAAUAAUUAGUGACAACAUAAUAUGAAUGUGAACAUAUUUUAAACAUGUAUAACAUUGAAUAAUAUACAAAUUACACAAAAUGGACACGGGAUACCUUUAGUCUCAAACCGAAUGAACUGCAAUUGAGGUUAUUUUGUAUUUGUGGGUGCUGUACCAGUAGAAGUAGUGUCAAUCGACAACGAUUGGUCAGAUAUAUUGACAAUCCCAGAUGCAUUCCCAGAUGAUACCAUAACAUUAGCUGGUAUUGACAUGGAAUCAAGAGUAGGUAUUUCAAAUCCAUGAAAGGAAUGUCGACUAUCAACUGUUGUGUACACAAUUUUGCAACUUUCAGUUGGAUUGACAACAUAUACUGGUUUGGCAGCAGAUGGACCACCAAGAUAGGUAGUAUCAGAUGUAUGAGGAUGAUAUUCAGAGAUUGGUGGGUUAGUAUCAUCGGAUGCGGUAGGUUCAACACGAGAUAUUUCAACACGGGAUGAAUCAGUGGACGCCAAAUGUAGCAACAAUCCCGAAUGCCCCAGCAAUGAAAUUUGUGGGAUGAAAUUUGUGGGAUACACUGUUGUCUAAUGUCGCGAGAACCACCGUAAACUCAUGUGUGCUGCCGGUAAGCCGCCGUGAACAGCUGUGAACCUUAAUCAAAGUGUAGAUGAUGAUGAUGAUGCAGAUUGUGGAUUGGGAACAAAUGUGAUGAAGAAACCCUAAAACAGGGGACACGCGUGUUUAUGUUACAGAUCCAUAUAUUUAAAAUUAUGACACCGUGUGUUUUUUGUUAGAAUUCAAUAUAUUUACAAUUAUGCCA